rnacentral:lncRNA from 1 species
CCCCUAUAGGUUCAUUACUCAUUCAUAUAGGGAAUCCACAACCCCUAAGGUUGAAUAAAGUUAAUUCAUGUGUCAAAUGCCUUUUGUGCCAUACAUUUGUUCCAAAGGUAUUUUCAAUGUGCAUCAACUCAUAUUCAAAGCCAAUUUUAAAAAAUUAGGUUGAGGUUAUAUCAAUUCAAUUACCAAAAUUCAUAAAAUUGGGGAAAAUCAUGUCCCCUUGGUUUAUUCACCAUGCCAUGCACCCCACAAGUUCAAAACCAUAAACAAAGCAUGAACAAUGCAUAUAACAUCACGGGAAUCCAAUUUAAUAAACAUUCAUUCCAUAACCCUCAACCUAUCUCAUAACCCAUAUUUAAAUCCACAUAAACAAUCAAAUAAUUUCAUGAUUUAAGUAAAAAAACAUUUAAGGGUAGAGUCACAUGCCUAGGAUAUCAAGUAUUUACGGAGAGAAUUCACCCUUUGGAAGUUCUAGUGCCAAUUUAUUAGAAGCCCUAAGUUUUCUUGACUUUGGGGACUUGAGAGUGUAUUUGAUUUGAUAAAGAAUGAGAAAUAACCCCUUAUUGGUGUUAUAUGGAUGUGGGGUCUAAGUAUAGAAAGAGGGAAAUGACAAGAAUUCCCUUAAUAAGAAGAUUGAAAAUUGGUUGCCCAGUCACUAUGGGUCACAAGACGUCUAGGUAUGAGUCGUCCCUUAGACUCAUAGUCUGGAGAGUAUCAUGGGGAAUUCACACUAGUCUGACUACGUGUCAUACCCUAUAACUCAUACUCAGACCUUAGGGCUCGUAUGGUCUAGUCAUUGUCAAAGCAAAAAUAUUUGGGCACUAUUUUGGUAAGACUACGAGUCACACAUUACGACUUGUAACAUCUCAUAAUGACUCAUAUGGUCCUAAGAAUACUUGGAUCAAAAACUUUGGGUAACACACUGGUCAGCCUAUAAUUAGGGUCCUAUGACCCGUAUAGACACUUUACGACUCAUAUGGUAAAUCGUAGCUUAGGCAGCGAGUUCAGAACUCAGGGGAUUUUCAAGAAACAAAAAUUUGGGGUGUUACAUUCUCCCCUCUUAGGAUCAUUCAUCCUCUAAUGAUGAGUCAAGGUAUCCAUUAGCACGAUUUAACACAGAACAAAAUUACACUUUCCUUUAACUAAGACAAAAAACAAAGAUAUUAAGGAACACACAUACCUCAAGCACGAUUAUCCAAAGGGGAAACAAGAAUGGAUAUUUGGACUUCAUGUCCUCUUCAGCUUCUCAAGUAGCUUCUUCCACCUUAUGGUUCCUUCAAAGAACCUUCAUCGAAGCCACAUCCUUAGUCCUCAAAUGAAAAACUUUCCUAUCCAAAAUCUUAACUGGGACAUCCUUAUAAGACAAGGAAUCCGAAAUGCUAACUCUCUAAACAGACAACCAAGGAAGGAUCACCCACACACUUUUCAACAUCAAAACAUGAAAAUAGAGUGAAUAGAACCUAAACUUGAAGGUAACUCUAACUUGUAGGCAAUAUUUCCCACUCCCCUCAAAAUUAAAUAAGUGCCAAUAUAACAAGGACUAAGCUUCCCUUUUUUUUGAAAUCUCACCACUUCCGUCAUAGAAGAUACCCUCAAGAACACCUAAUCACCAACAUCGAACUCCUCCCUAUGCCUCACAUCCGCAUAGGAAUUUUGGCGACUUUGGGGGGUUCUAAGACUAUCCCGAAUCAACUUUACCUUCCCAUGGCUUGGUGAACCAAGUAUGGACCGAAUAAUCUAGUCUCUCCAACUUCAAACCAUCCAAUAAGAGAACGACAUCUCCUACCAUAAAGAGCCUUAAAAGGAGCCAUUGCAAUACUAGAGUGAUAACUAUUAUUAUGCGCAAAUUCUAUGAGAGGCAAAUGAUCAGCCCAACUUUCACCAAAGUCAAUCACAUAGUCCCUUAUCAUAUCUUCUAAUGUCUAAAUAGUACUCUCUGCUUGUCAAUCCGUAUGAGGGUGCAAAGCGGUGCUAUGGUUCGCCUUAGUUCCCACACCUCUCUGAAAUGACCACCAGUAGUGAAAUGAGAACUGUGUACCUCGAUCAGAAAUAAUAAAAAUAGGUGCACCAUGCAACUUAACGUCUCCUAAAUAAAAAGCUAAGCAUAAUCUUUCAUAGAAUAAUUAGUCCUCAUAGUCAAGAGAUAAGCAGGCUUAGUCAUCCUAUCCACGAUGACCCAAAAAAAAUCAAACUAACUAUGGGACUGCGGAAGACUAGUAAUGAAAUCCAUGUUAAUCACUUCCCAUUUCCACAUAGACAACUCAAUUUCUUGGGACAUACCACCGGGCCUCAGAUGUUUUACCUUCACUUGUUGGAAAACCAUGCACUUAGCUAGAAAAAUAGCCAUAUUUCUCUUCAUGUUGUUCCACUAAUAAAUUUUCUUCAAAUCAUACAUCUUUGCCAAAUCAGGAUGAAUCAUGUACCUCGAUUCAUGAGCCUCAAACAAAAUUCUUUCUCAUAGCCCAUCAACAUUGGAAACACAUAAUCUACAUUGGUACCUCAAGAUACCAUCGACACCAAUCUCAAAAGCCAUGACUUUCUAUUUGCCCAUAUCAUUCUUAAUCUGCAUUAAGAUAAGGUCCCAAAACCUAUUUUUUCUUUACUUCAGGGCCAAGAGAUGACUUUACCACUUCCAGAACAAACAUACCACCAUCCUCGUAGUCUAGGAGAUGAACUCCAAGAUUAUCCAAAUAAUGAAUAUCUUUCACCAAACCUUGUUUCUCCUCAUCCUCAUGAGACAAGCUCCCCAUGGACAACUUUCUAAGUGCAUCAACAACCACAUUAGCGUUACCUGGAUGAUAAUGAAGACUAUGUCAUAGUCUUUGAGAAACUCAAGCCAUAUCCUUUGGCUGAGAUUCAACUACUUCUGGGUAAACAUAUACUAUAAGAUUUUAUGAUCGGAGAAGAUAUCAUCAAGAGCCCCAUACAAGUAAUAACGCCAGAUCUUUAAUGCAAACACCACAACCAAUAAUUCUAAGUUUUAAGUCAGAUAGUUCUUCUAUUGCACCUUAAGCUGCCUAGAAGCAUAUGCCACAACCUUGCCACAUUAUAUCAACACACAACCCAGUCCCACACGGGACACUUUCACAAUAAACAACAAAACCAUCAGCACCCUUAGGUAGGGUAAAAAUUGAAGCUAAAGUCAACUUAUCCUUCAACUUAUCAAGAAUGCCCCCAUAAGGGUCAGACUACAGGAAUUCUACCUUAUUAUAAGUCAACUUAGUCAACAGAGCUGCAAUUGAAGAGAAACUCUCCACAAACCUCCUAUAAUACCCAACUAAACCCAAGAAGCUUUGAAUAUCGGUUGGAGUCGUAGGUCUAGGCCACUUUUUAACCACCAUAAAUUUUUAUGGAUCCACCAUGAUCCCCUCGCUAUAAACAACAUGACCCAAAAAAGUAACAACAUUCAACCAGAGUUCACACUUAGAAAAUUUAGCAUACAAUCGUUGAUUCUUAAGUGUCUGCAACACCACACGGAGGUGAUCGACAUGAUUUUCCUCACUCUUAGAAUAUACCAAGAUGACGUCAAUAAAUACAAUAAUGAAUAAGUCCAAAAACUAAUAAAAUACACGAUUCAUAAGGUCCAUAAAUGACAUCGGGGCAAUAGUCAAACCAAAAGACAUGACCAAGAACUCAUAAUGGCCAUACCAGGCAUGGAAAAUAGUCUUAGGGAUAUCUGCCUCCAUAAACUUCAACUGAUGAUAACCCGACUGAAGAUCAAUCUUAAAAAAGUAGUUAGCACCCUAAAGCUGGUCAAAUAGGUCAUCAAUCCUCGAAAAAUGGUACUUAUUCUUUACGUUUACCUUAUUCAAUUAGUGGUAAUCAAUACAUAUUUACAGGGACCCAUCAUUCUUACGUAUAAAAAGAAUAGGAGGGCCUCACGGUGACACACUUGGGAGGAUAUGUAACACCUCGCAUGUUUCUAAGUUAGAAAAUGAAUCGUUGUUCAUGCGUGUGUAACCAUUAAUCUCAUAAUUCAUAUUUUAAUGUAUGCAUCAUGUUCAUUAUACUAGUUAUGGGAUAGCUUGUGAUGUAUAAAAUACGUUCAUAAGAGUCACUUAGAACAAAGUGAGCUAAGAGCCUUUGAUUCGGCCAAAUUUUUGGUGUUUAAUUUCACAAGGGGUCAUUUUUAAAUAGCUAUAACUUCUUGUAUAUAUAGAAUAUAGAAGAUUAAGACCCACAAAAUUGUAUAUAAUCGAAUUAGCUUUCGAAAUAUACCUAUUUUGCCUAAAUCUGAUAACUGGGUGAAAAGUUAUGCCAUUUUUUGUGUGAGGCAGUAAGGGGUCGCGAUAGCCCCGAGAUGCGAGGGCUGCUUGACCCAAAUAGGGGUCACAUAGCAAGGGCUGCUUGACCCAACUAGGGGUCACGACAUGGGGGCUAUUCCCCCACAGUUUUAGCUCCUUAAGGGUCAAGGGGUACUUUGGUUCUUUCCCCUCAACCCCAAACGUCCAAAGCAUGAAUUUUAACACCCAAAAGGGCAUUAUUUGCCCAUCUUCCUCAAAUCAACUCACUAAAAACCCUUCUCCAUUCCCAAGAACACAAAAAUCAAAGCAUCUCCAUUUAAGAACCUUCAAAAAAAGUUACUCUCUUUCAAGAUUCAUGAAAAUACAUGUUUAUAAUGAUUUAUCUCCAUGAAGAUUUUAUGAAUUUUGAUUAGACAUGAUGUUUACAAUCUAUUUUCAUUAAAAGCAGCCCUAAUUACAUAUUUUAUGAAUUAUUUCCAUGAACUUACAAGAAUUUUGAAUCUUUAUCAUGUUUCCAUGAAAUUAUUAGUGAUAUUAAACCUUACAUGUUUAAAUGGGGUUGUUUGUUGAACUUAAACCCAUAUUGGUGAUCUUAGAAGUGAGAUCAUGCUAUUUCUACAAAUUUUAGAACCAUUCUCAUGUUUAGUUUAAACCAUGAAUUGCAAGUGUUUAAUGAAAUGCCUAAAUAAUUGGAUUUUGAACAAUGACUACUUAUUACAUAUUUACAAGUUAAGAUUUUGGAAUUUGUUUUCAAGUGGAAUGCAUUAUAAUAUGUUUUAAAUAUUAUGUUUUCCAUAUCAUGUUCAUGAGAAUUCAGAAUAAAUCCUUAGUUUUAUGAUUUUUUUCAUGUGAAGGACUGGUAGAAAUCAGUAGAACUCUACAAGGGGUUGUACAAUCAGGAGCUGGGACCCUAGACCGGGUCUAAACUCCAUAAAUAGAAUGAUUUUUAUCUACAUUGUACUCAGGUUGGAUAUAAGAGGUUCCAAGAGCAUUAGACCUUAGGGGAGGCAUGAUCUAAAAUGCGAACAAACAGAGAUUAGAGGAGUUUUAAGACCUUAAAUGCUAUAGCCCAAAAUUAGAUCACAAGAAAGGGAAACAUUCCUAAGUUCCUCGUAGCCUCUCUCUUAUAAGUGUGGCGUGCUACACACCCAUAAAAAAGACUAUACUUGACAUGGAUUUGUGGACACCCAAUUGGUCAUGAACCUAGGGCUCUGAUACCAACUUGUUACGACCCAAACUAGGGCCUGACUACGACGGGUAUCUCAAGUCCACCGAGGACGGGAGACCAUCCCCUUUGCUUAGCCAAACAGAACAUAAUAUAGAUAUCAAUGGAUGAAUUUUGAAUAUAUAACAAGAUAGAAUAAUAUAAGCUCAAAGGAGUUUAAUAAUAUCAACAACAAUACCCAGUCCACAGUAAUCCACAAAACCUAUAACAAAACCAAAUCAAUCUAAGUCAGGGCAUGCCACCAACGAUCGCCAAAAAUAAGUUCAAAAAAAAGUUUAUGAUAAUAGAUAAACAAAGAACAAACAGCCUCCAGAAGAAGGAGGCUUACCACUUCAAGCUGACUGUUGACAACCCAAAAAUUCUAUCAUUGUGCAAGAAAAAUAAAAGUGUCUUCAUGUCUGGCAUCUCAUGGGGAUACAACAUUCGAAGACGGUUAGUGGUUUGAGUGCUAGCAUGUAACUCAGGGAUAAGGGGUAAAAUAAUAUCAUAAUCAACCGUUUAAAAUCAAUCACACAACCAUAUGCAAAUACAUACAUACAUAUAUAUAUAUAUAUCACAUGUCAAGGUAGGGAACAAGGCUUAGCAUGAACUUUAAGACCUUAAACUAGAUUGUAUAGCUCAACCAUCAUAAGAAGGCACCCACGGGCUAUAUGGGUUCAGCUCUCCCCCAGUUAAAAGGUCCCUAGUGCGUAUAGUCGCAUGAACCAAAGAAUAACCCUAUGUACAUAUGUAUUAUGGGGGACUCGAACCUUCAGGUCAUAUAUAAAGGGUGACUUAAGCACCCAGUCAUUUAACAUGGGGGACCAACCCCCAAUUAUUUAAUAAGGGGGCCUCAAACCACCCGGUCAUUUAGACCCCCACAUCGUUAAAUGCAGUUUCCAGUAUUGAUCCCUCGGGACCUCCACUUUAAUGGCCCAGCUACACAACCCCCUUUAAUUCUAAUUAAAAUAUUCUUCAUACAUUCUCAUUCAUUGAACCAAUUUAUUAAGACACCCCUUUGGUAUCGUCAUGCCAACUUUACUUUUCAAGCUAAUACUGUCAUGCAAUAUUAAUUAACCAUUCACAUGGGGGAAUUCAUUACCCCUCUAGGUUCAAUUACUCAUUCAUGCGGGGACUCAGUCCCUAAGGUUCAAUAAAGUUAAUUCAUGUUUCAAAUGCCUUUCGUGCCAUACAUUUGUUCCAAAGGUAUUUUCAAUGUGCAUGUACUCAUAUUCAAAGCCACUUUCAAAAUAUUGGGUUGAGGUUAUACCAAUUCAAUUACCAAAAUUCACAAAAUUGGUGGAAUCCAUGUCCCCUUAGUUUAUUCACCAUGCCCAUGCACCCCAUAAGUUUAAAACCAUAAAUAAAGCAUGAAAAAUGCAUAUAACUUCAUGGGCAUUCAAUUUAAGAAAAAUUCAUUUCAAAACCCUUAACCCAUAUCAUAACCCAUAUUCAAAUCCACAUAAAAAAUCAAAUAAUUUUAUGCUUUAAGUCAAAAAAAAUUAAGGGCAGAGUCACAUGCCUGGGAUAUCAAGUACUUACGGAGAGAAUUCACACUUUGGAAGCUCUAGUGCCAAUUUAUUGGAAACCCAAAGUGUUCUUGAUAUGGAGACUUGAGAGUAGUUGAGAGUCUAUUUGAUUUUAUAAAUAAUGAGAAAUAAACCUUUCUUGGUGUUUUAUGGACGUGGGGUCUAAGUAGAAAAAAAAAAGAAAAAUGACAAAAAUGCCCUUAAUAAAAAGAUUAAAAAUUAGUCGCUCAAUCUCUAUGAGUCACAUGACGACUCAUAACGACUAGAUAUGAGUCAUCCCUUAGACUCGUAUUCUAGACAAUUUCAUGGGGAAUGCACACUUGUCUGACUAUGGGUCAUAACCUAAAAUUCAUACUAAGACUUUACAACUUGUAUGUUCUAGUCGUUGUCAAAGAAAAAUAUUUGGGCACUAUACUAGUGAGACUAUGAGCCAUAUUUUACGACUCGUAACAUCUCAAAAUGACUCAUAUGGACCUAAGUGUACUUAGAUCAGAAAUUUUAGGUAACACACUGGUCACCCGUAUAAACACUUUAUGACUCGUAUGAUGAGUCGUAGCUUGGGCAGUGAGUUCAGAACUCAGGGGAUUUUCAAGGACCAAAAAUCCAGGGUGUUGCAAAUUGGUUAUGCAUUCCCUUCAACAACAUAAAAGACAUAAAAAAAUUUUGAGAUUCAUCAAUGUCUCAUUCAGAUGCAAUUACCGAAAUCAAUCUCAAAUAAGAAAUACUCUCUGCAACAAUAAUUUCUUCACUUUUAUGUCCUUCAUAUUGUAUUUCGGAUUUCCAUACACCUGAAUGCCUCAGGAGAAUUGCAAUCUUCAUCUUCUUGAAAAAAAUUUCUAUCAUUUUUUUUGCGACCUUGAAUACUAAAAUUUCGAAAAACAUAGCUUGAAGGAUAUGAAUUGUGUUUUCUCGAUUGUACUAGUUGAAUUUGUGUUUCAAAUUUUAAAAUUAAAUAGCUUUUACUGAAUUAAAGGGAUUCACUAAUCAGAUAUUAAUAAAUGUUGUGCUGAUUGCAUCUUAUAAUAAGGGAAUAUGCAUUAUUUCCUUUUUUAACCCUAUAUAGUUACUUAAUAUACAUAAUGUAGUAAUGUAUAUAGUCGGCAAUAUAUGCAUAAGAAUAAUUAAAAUCCGAGAGAGAAAUUUUAAUUAAAAAGAGGGAGAGAGGGUAACUAGGUAUCAAAAUGGUGGGAUUUAUAUUAUUUAUACUAUUUUUUAUGCAGUCUAUGAUUGAUCUGAUGUGUUAAAAAUAACUUGAAUUGUAUAUUUUUAAUGAAAAAAGGUCAUAUAUAUUCCCUAAACUAUUGAAAAUGGUACAUAAAUAUCCUUCACUAUACUUUUAGGUUGUUUAUAUCCCUGUUGUCUAACUUUGGGUACGUAUAUAUUCUUCAAUUAGACUACGUGCCACGUGUCCAUAUCCUAAAGAAAUAAACUCGUUUUCCUUUGAAAUUUCUCCCCUAGGUUGCUGGUGAAAUGUCUUGUGGCCAGAGUUGAAGCGAGUUUCACGCCUAUUUCUUGGCAAAUCAAAAUCAAUCCUUGGGUCACUAUAUUUUAACAUCAUGUACAUCGAUGUUUUUGCUACUAGUUAUGUAAAUUUUUUUUGGCUAAAAUGAUCUUCCGGAUCAUUGGAAUUUUUUUCCUAAAAAUUUGACUUAGUAAAUGAGAUUGAUGCAUUUUUUAUCUAUUGUCUACAUUUUUCUGCUAAAAUUGUCUUUUAGAUCACUAAAAUUUUAAUUCCUUUGGAUAGAAGAUUCAAUAUGGUGUUGUAUUUUUUAUCAAGGAUUAAAUAAAUCUUUAUAGAUUCAGCACACAUGGGGAAGAAUGGUUGUUGGUGGUGGUGGUUGUGGUGGUAUUGGAAGGAUUGUCUUUAGUUUGUCAAGAAAUAGGUGUGGGUGAAACUUCUUCCAACUCUGGCCACAGAAUAUUUAGACGGUAGGUCAUUGGAAAAAUUGUGAGGAAAAAAUGGGUUAAUUUCUUUAGGAUGUGUACACGUGGCACACUGUCUAACUAGAGGGUAUGUACGUACUAUUUUCGAUAGUUUGGGGGUAUAUAAGCGUCCAAAGUUAGAUGAGAAGGGUAUAAAUAUCCCAAGAGUAUAACAUGGGAUACUUUUACCAUUUUCAAUAGUUCAGGGGGAUAUAUGACCUUUUUUCAUAUUUUUGAAUUUAACAAAUUAUUUACGAAAAUGUUCUCCACAAAUAUCUAUAUUAUAUUAAAAGUGUGAACGACCUUAAAAAUAUUUUUUGAACUUUUUUCCCUUCAUUAAAAGUAUCUAUUUUAAACGAAAUCAUCUUUUCACUAUUUUUCUAAUAUUUCAGAGUUGAAAAUUAAUUAAAUAUUUAAAGUAAAAUUUUUCCUUUUUAGAAGUCAUCAGUAUUAUUGACAACUAAUACUUUUUCAUUAGUUUAAAAUUUUAAAUCAACUAAAGUUGAAUUUAAGAAGUUUUGAAAAACCUAAAAAUAAACACGAAAGCGUUAGAAUAAGAAAAAUAUAAGAAGUGUCAAAUUUUUAAAAGUUUUAGAGAAAAUGGCCAAAUACCCCCCCAACCUUUACCCGAAAUCUCAACUACACACUUAUACUUUGCGGGGGUCCUAUGACCCACCUGAACUAUUUUAAAGUGGAAUAUUCACCCCCCCUAAAAGCUCAUGCCCAGAUAUUAUUUCGCUGUCAUGCCAUCAUCACGUCACUUUUUCUUGCCACAUCAUUAACACAUCAUUUUUUUCUUUUUUUACUCUAAAAAAUUAAUUAUUUAACUUUUUUAUUUUCUUUUUUCUUCCAUUGCACCACAUCUAUGGCCAUUCUUUCUCAAAAAAUUCUUUUCUUUAGAUUUCAUUUCACUUUGUUUUCCACCCAUUUCUUCACUUUCUACUCUUGCUAUUUCCAGAAAUUCAAAAUGGACCACUCAGUCAUGGUGACCUCAUCUGACCCUUCAGCAUUCCUUUUUCUUUCUUUUUUUUUAAAAAAAUUUCUCAACUAUGAAAAUUGAUGUUGAAUUUAUGAUUGUGAAAAACUUUGGUGUUGAUUUGGAUUAUGGUGUUUAUUUGAUUUUUUCAAUUUCAAGACAUUGUUGGAAGUUUACGUUUCAUUUCAUGAGAACGAUGAUUUUUGGUAUGGUAAUUCGGUUAAUGAGUAUGUAAGUUUGAUAAAUUAAUUUUGGAUUGGAUUCCAUUGUUGAGUUCUUGGAGAUGUCAUUAUUGAGAAGAAGAAGAAGAAGAAGAAGAAGAAGAAGAAGAAGAAGAAGAAGAAGAAGAAGAAGAAGAAGAAGAAGAAGAAGAAAAGAAAAAGAAAAUGAAUAAAGAAAAAUAAUAAUUAAAAAUGAAUAAAGUAAAUAAAGAAAUAUUUGGUCAUGUUAGCGUUCUCACUCUCUUAAAAGAGAGUGAAACACACUCUCUUUCCAUGUCAGCAUUCAAGGGGGUAAAUAUUCCACGUUAAAAUAGUUUAGGGGGGUCAUAGGACCCCCGCAAAGUAUAAGUGUGUAGUUGGAAUUUGGGGUAAAGGUUGAGGGGGUAUUUGGCCAUUUUCUCAAAGUUUUAAGUAAGUAAUUAAAGAUUUUCUAAAGAUUUAACUUUUAAAAUAAGGAAAGAUUUUAAAUAUAAAAAAAAUAAAAAAAAUAAUCGUACUACAAAUAUAGUUCAAAUCGAUGUGUCUCUCUUAGCCUCUAGCAGCAAAAAAAAGAGGUACUGCAUGACAAACGUAAAAAUAACGAUCCAUUAACCACAACUUCUGGUGGUAAUAUAUAUAUAUGUACUUACAAUAAAAUCUAUGCUAUGUUUAUAUUAUUAUAUUAAAGAGUGGAAGACCUUUGAGAAGUGAUUUUGAAUUUUUACACUUCAUCAAAAAUUACACAAUACACAAAAUUAUCUAAUUUUAAAUAAUUAAAGGUUACACGUGCAAGGCAGGUAGGGUUAAACUAGUCUAUAUCUAUAUCUAUAAUCUAUAUCUAUAAUUUAUAAUCUAUAAUAUAUUAAAAGUGUGAAGAGACUUAGAAAUAUUGUUAAAACUUUUUGUCCUUCAUUAGAAGACUUCGCAAUAGACAAACCAUCUUUUCACAUUUUUCGAUAAAUUAUUAUUUAAUUAUUUUAUAUUAUUAACUAUAAUCUGUAAAAACUAAGGACUCCUAAAAAUACAUGGUAAUAAAUAUAUAUAUGGCGAACUAAUGCUGCUAGAUUUUCUUUCCUUGUGUACCCUAAAAAAAAUAAUCCUAAAAUAUAUAAUAAGUGGAGAGAAAAAUGAAAAUUUAAUGAUUUCCAUCAAAAUUAGAGUAAUAUAUUUAGUAACAAUUUUAUUUCUUAUAAUUAAAAUACGGUAAAUAAUAAAAGCACAAAAAGAAAAUUUCUCCAAACUUUGUUAGUUUUAUCUACCUCUCCAAGUCAAGUACUCUUAGUACUCACAUCUCCCAUUUCCAUGAGUAGAAAAAUUCAUAUCUAUGCUUGUAACGCCCCGAAAAUCUGUCCCGAGAUAUAACACGGUGCUUAGGACCACAAGUGAUCCCAAGCUAACUCUUCCACUGGCAUAACUCAUAAGAAACUGAUAUGAUAUGCAUAAAACGACUGAGUUUACUGUGUGGAAACAUAAUAAUGAUGGAAUCUGAGAAAAUACAAUAUCAAUACAACAUUUACAUUCUGAUAAAGUCUGAAAGAGGGACUGAAAAUACAUAACUGACUCUAAUUGACAUCUGUGAAGCCUCUACUAUGCUGACUAUAGAUAGCUAGUAUGCGACCCCAACUAUCACUAAUCAAUACAUGAGAGUAAGGAAGUAAAGUACAUAAAUAACAUCUAACUAAAGUCCCCGAAGUAGGAGGACUCGUCAUCUACUGGCUGGAAUCUGCAAGCUGUCUGAAUAUGGUAUACGUGCUAUAACUCGUACCUAUAUUAUGAGACAAUGUAGCACAUAGACAUAUAUGUGGAUCAGUAUGUUGAGGAUGUACUGAGUAUAUGGGGUGAAAUGCAUAAGUAAAACAUUAUCUCAUCAUCAAAAUUUAUAAAACAAUGCAUGCUAAAUGUAAAUGACACAUAUAAGCUGGAAUAUCUAAAUUACUGAAAUAUGUAGCAAUAAGAAGCAAAACAUAUUUUAUAAAUCUUGUGAGCCAUAACAUUUAGUUCAAAAAAUUAUACUUUUAUUCUCCCUUUAAAUCAUUCUGUCUAAGUGUAGAAGGACUUACUACUGAAUCUGAAAUCUGAAAGCUAAAAUCUGUAGCUAUUAUUUUUUUUGUAAGGUAUAAUCUGAGUAAAACUUGUGAGCCCUUACACUUAGUUUUCUAAAAGCUUUUUUGUUCUUUUUUUACUGUUAAGGAGAAUACUUUAUCUCUUAUCUGAAAAAAAUACUUUAAAACUGUUCUGAAAACUGUUAGUUUUAUUAGCAGGGAGGUUCUCUUAACCGACAUAAACCAUGUAAGCUAACAUAGAGUCCAACAUCUUGUCUUCCUAAGGAAGAAACCUCACAUUGGAGAGAGGUGUCAUACUCUUGCCAGGGAGUAUAACCUACCCAUGUGAUCGAUCACAAGCUAAAUCUGUCAUUCAUAUAGAAAUGGAAAUAAUCUGAUAAUCUGAACCUAUGUUGGCUACGUAGUUCUGUGGAAGUAAGAUGCGCUAAACCCACACUUCUUGCUCGAUGCUAAAUACUACUCUUUUUUUAUUUUCUACGCUCAUUCUGUUGGAAAUCUGCUUUAAAACUAGCAUAAGGGUUUAUCUAAAACCAAUUACGCAUUAAACUAAUAAAAUCUAUAAAUAAAAUUGAUUUGAAUUCUAUAAACUAUAAUAAUCUAAAAAGUGAAUUUCCAUAUCUAGUCUGAUGAUCGAAAGAUCAAAGCUUUAUUAAAAAUCUGCAAAUAAUUUGCUCAUAAGAUGCUUAAAGCAUCAUCUUUCUUAAAAUCAUAAAAUCAAUCUUGGAAAAAUAAUCCAUGCUUCAAUCUCAAGUUAAAACAUCAUAAUAUUCAUGCUUGGUAAUGUAAACAUUCAUAAUUCAACUUAAAAUCUAGAAAUUUCAACAAUAUUCAUGAAAAUAUGAACAUAAUCAUGUAAUUCAACUUCUAAAUCAUUGGAAAUCUCAUAAGCUUGUAAACAACAUUAAUGGGUAUAAACCCUAACUUCAAUUACAGGGAAAAUCAUAUAAAAUUCAGUAAAUUCACAAUUAAAAUAAGUUUUGAGCACAAGGAUGAAAGGAGUAUCCUUGUUCAUAACCCCAUAUACCUUGAUUGAAGAUUGGAUGAAGAAUCUUGAAAUAUUAAUUCCUAAUUGAGUUCUUGAAGAUGAGGUCUUGACUAUCUUAUCUUAGGAAUCUUCAAUCUAAAGCUUUCUUAGAGAAAUCUAUGGUGGAAUUUGAUUUCUUGGAGAAGGGGUUUUUGGUUUCUAGGGUUUUUCCUUUGAAGAGAAUGGUGAAUAGCGAGCAAGAAUGCUUGGAAAUAUGAUUAACCUUAUGUUUAAUACGGUUUGGGCCUUGGGAAUUGACCAAAAUACACUCGCCCUCUUUAAACUCCCAAACGAAACUAGAAAAAAGACCAAAAAUCCCAAUUUGCUUGGCCACCGUGAUGCGCCACAAUCGCGGUGUCUCACUGGAAAAGGGCGAGUAGGAACUAGGCUUUCUUCGCGACACGGAGCUAUCGCGGUGCCCUACAAUUUUGCCAUUUUGGCCACUGGCGCGAUGACCCACUAUCGCAUAGGCUUGCUGAAAAUUGACAAAUAUGAAAUGGGACUCCUCCGCGGAGUCUCACUAGAAUUUGACAACUGCCAAUUUGCUUCGCUCUGUGAUGCGCUGAGUCCAGGUGACACACUGUCAACUUAAAAAUGCUAUAACUCCUUCAUUGAGUGUCAGAUUUAGGCAAAUUUGGUAUCGAUGGAAAGAUUAUUCAAUUUUCCACAUAUUGAAAAGUUUAAAUCUUGAAAAUUUCACAUAGAAUAAAUAUUAUUAAUUUUGGAAGCUAUCCCUUAACAUUCUAGGAAUGAAUUUAAACUAGAAAAAAUAUGGGUAUUAUAAUAUCUCUCCCUUAGGAACAUUCGUCCUCGAAUAUGGCUAAUUAGGCUGAAAUUUCUGAGGAAUCUGAGGAUAUAAGCUAUCAGGCACAAUUGAAAUAAACUAUAUGACUGAAUCCCAAUGUAGUGGGCUACUGAACUGAUCUGUGAGUGCAUGAACUUUCAUGAAAAUAGUUAUAUGGUUGAGAUAGUCUGCUUAUGACUAACCAUUACUUUAGUCUGAAUCUGAUUUUGUGAGAAAAAGAUGAGAGGUUUAUAACUUGAAAACUCGGGGUAUUAAAAUGCUGAAUAGUUCAAAACGAAUUUACAGAAUUUGAGGGUUGGCGGUAAUCUGCGCGGCCAUCCAGACCUAUAAGUUAAUAUCAUAAAACCAACCAAAAUGUAUAGGAAUUGUAUAUAGCUUUUGACUGUAUGGAAACCUUUCACCCGAGCAAAGGGUCUGUCAAAAUUUAAUACAUACUUGAGUUGAGCUCAUAUGUCUAGCGAUUCUAACCAUGAAAAGAGACGCCCUUGUUCCUCAUCUUUUAACGAGCUUAAGAGUGACGGCUUGAUAGACGUAGUCACUAAGACAAAGCCAACAGAAGCAAUACUACUAACUUCGACUGUACCACCAUCUCGGAACCAAGCCAAGAAACUAUAGAAAAAUUCCUUUGUAUUUUGAUAGAGUCUGGAUCUUUCCUAGUUAUUAUGUAAAAGAAGUUAGAUCUCCAGCAUAGAUAUGAAACUGCUUAUCCAGACAUAGUCACGGCUAGAAAGGGAGAGAGAGUAAUAUAAAAUUUUGAAAAAAGAACUUAACAAAUACCUCGAAUGUCUGGAAGCAAGGCCGAAAUAGUAUUUGACAGCAAGCUUUUAUUCAAACCUGAAAAAAAUGUACAGGAGAGAGAAAGCUUAAAAGAGAAAAUAUAAAAAACUCACCUCUGCCUUCCCUAACAAAUGAACUCUUCUAUAUAUAGAAAAUAAAAAGAAUCUACGUACAGUACUCUGGGUCCCAUAUUUGGGUCCCAUAUACAGUGUAUCUACUGUAUAGGAAUCUAUAUACCAUACUAUAGGUCCCUCAUCCGGUCCCGUGCACAGUGUAAUUACUGUAAAUAGUAUAUCAUACUAUUUUUUUUCCCUUUAAUUUUCUAAGAAAUUCUUUUAUCCUUGCAAUGGCAUCCUCAGAUAUUGGUUUGUCUGAGGGGAUAGGUUGAGAGUCCUGAAUAUCUUCUUCAGCGAUAUCAUCGCUGGUCAUACUUUUCAUUGAAGUGUCCGACUUAUCAUGUUGGUUAACAGAUUGAAGCAUAUUUCUCCUGAAUUCUUCCAAGUAUUUCUCUAUCAUUUCAAUUCUAUCUCCAUCAUGUACAGAGAUUCUUUUAGCAAUGUGUUGUAUUGAUCUAUCCUCGAUAAUAUCCUUUUGAGAGGCUGCUAAAUAUUCCCAAACUCUAUUUUCAAUAGAGUCUAGAAGCUCCUGUCCAUACAAAAUUUUUGUCUUGAGAUCCUUCCACAUCAAUUUAUCCCAAAAAUUAUUAUAGAAUACCCUAUAUAAACAUGAGAUUUGUUCUUUUGUGAAUCCUAAUUUUGGACACCAUUUAUGUAUCCAAGGAAUAGAAAAUUCAAUAAAGAAAUAUAUUUGGUCAAUUUUUUCCAGAUUACAGACAUGCUCUGUGUGAUACAACUUGUUUAACUGUGGGGAUAUUUUAGUCCAUUCUUUGUUUAACUUAAGAAAUGGAUCUGGCAAUAUUUGGAUAGUAGGACCACCAAUUUAAAAAUCAGUUUGGAAUUGGUUCUGCAAAUAUCUUUGCACAAAUCUUUAUAAACUAAGUAUAUUUAUGUCGGUUAUUGUUAUAAUAAAGAACUUUAUUAAAGGCUUGAAUGUAGUCCCAAUAAGUGAAAUUUAUACUGUAACCUUUAAGAAAAAUCUGUUUUUCUGUCAUUGUGGUCAUCCCCCAAUCUUUGACAGAUAUAAUCUUUUUAAUAACAAUUUUUGAGAAGUUAUAAACAUUCACUUCUGAGUUAUAUCUAGAAAAGUGCUCGAAUUCUGCACUACCUAUGGAAAUGAGAAUAGUCUCAUAAUAAAUACGGGUUUUAUAUGACUCACCCGGAAAAUAUAAAUUAUCUAUCAAGUACUUGUGGAGUAUCUUCCAUGGUUCAUAUUGUCUCUGAAUCUCAGAGUUUUCAACAAGAAAUAUUAUUUCAUUGUUUUCUAGCUGUUGAUAGGACUUGAUAUCAUCAUUGUCUUUGUUUUUAGCGAUUGAGGAAAAUGUAUCACUUUGCUUCUGAGUUGCUAAAUAUGCUUGCAAUUAUCCAUAUAACGGACUAUCCUCUGGAAUAUCGUCCAGAUGAAUUGAAGGGGAUGAUGAGGAUUCUCCUUUCUGCAAUACUUUGAAGUUUAUCAAACUCUUAUUUCCCGUUUGUAUAACUGGGGAAUUAGACGAGGAUCCGUAUGACGUUCCUGAAUAUGAUCUGAUUGUUGGGGAUGAUCUUCCCCUUCCACCGGAGGCUGAUCUUCCUCCUAAUCUACCCUGUCCUUUUCCUCUAGCUAUUUUCCAUGGUGGGUCAGUAGCCAUACUGCAAAGAGGAUAAUUAAUUAGAUAUUUUCAAAUCAUACCAGUCAAUAUCUCUAAUUUCUUCAUAACUGAAGACAGAAAAUUCUUCUUCGACCAUAGCAUGGAUGAUUUUAUCAAUUAUGAGAUUUUGAAUUCCUCUAUAUAGAGAAACCACCUAUAAUAUAGUAAUCAAAGUUUUUUCAGUGAGAAAUGAUGUAUAAAAAGUCAUUCUAACUGAGAUAUUUUCUAGAUAAGAAAUCAGGGAGGGAUUUAUCAAUUCCUUUUUUAUGUUGAAUCUCAAAAUCAAAAAGGGCUAAUUGGGUUUGCCACCUUGAAAAUAUUAACUUUGAAGCAUCAUGUUUAAAAUCUUUAUCAAACAUGUACUUCACAGAUUGAGCAUCAUUUUUUAUCAAAAACUUUUGAUCAUAAAGGUCAUCCUAAAAUUUUAAAACACAUUUAACAAUGGUUAGCAUUUCAUGAGCUACCGUAGCAUAUUUGUUCUGACUAUCAGUCCAUUUUCCUGAAUGAAAUCUUAUCAAGUAUUCAGUUUUAUUAUAGGGAUUAACUUGUUUUAAUAUCCCACCAUAACCAAUAUUAUACGCAUCCGUCUCAAUUAUUUUUUGCCAGGCAGGAUUGGCUAAAGUUACACAGGGUAAGGUUUUAACCUUCUGUUUAAUUUAUUUAACAAGAUUUGUAUGACUAUCCGUCCAUGCUCCUUUAUAGUCCUUUUUCAGCCUAUCAUAUACAACAACAACAACAACAAACCCAGUGUAUUCCCACAUAGUGAAGUCUGGGGAGGGUAAGAUGUACAUACCUCUACCUCUAAAGAAGUAGAAAGGCUGUUUCUGAUAGACACCCGGCUCGAGACACGGAAUACUAAACAAAUUCAUAGUAAAGCAUGGAACAAGAUGGCAUAACAUAAACACGACACCCAAAAGUAAUAGUAAACAGAGAAAAGUAAACAGACUCGUAAUAAAGCAUGAAACAAGGUAUCAUAACAAGAAUAAUACCCCCACCAAGUAAUUCCCUACACUAGCGACCCAAACUGACCCUAGCCUUCUGCCCUAAUUCGCGUCUUCUAGAUCUUCCUAUCUAGGGUCAUGUCCUCAGUGAGUUGUAACUGCUCCAUGUCCCACCUAAUCACCUCUCCAUAGUACUUAUUCGGCCUACCCCUACCCCGCCUAAAACCAUCCAAAGCUAGCCUCUCACACCUACGAACCGGGGCAUUCAUGCCCCUCCUCAUCACGUGUCCGAACCAUGUCAAUCGGACUUCCCUCAUCUUAUUCUCCACUAGAGUCACACCAACCUUCUCCCUGAUAGUCUCAUUCCGAACUCUAUCCCCCUAGUCAGCCCACACAUCCAACGCAACAUCCGCAUUUCCACCACCUUCAUUUUUUGAAUGUGGGAGUUCUUAACUGGCCAACACUCCGCUCCAUACAACAUGGCCAGACGGACAGCCACCCUGUAGAAUUUGCCUUUGAGCUUGGGCGGCAUCUUCUUAUCAGAAAACAACCCCGAAGUGAGCUUCCACUUCAUCCAUCCCGCCCUAAUACGGUGCGAUACCUCCUCGUCAAUCUCACCGUUACCUUGAAUCACGGACCCGAAAUACUUAAAACUAUCCCUCUUACAUACCAACUGUGAUUCCAACUUCACUACCACCUCAUUCUCCAGCCUCACAUCAUUAAACUUGCAUUCCAAAUCAUCUAUCUUGCUCCUACUCAACAUGAACCCUUUGGACUCAAGAGUUUGUCUCCACACCUCUAAUUUAUCAUUCACACCCCCCCUCUCCCCCGUAUCUCAUCAAUCAAAACUACAUCAUCUGCAAAAAGCAUACACCAAGGCACCUCUCCUUGAAUACGCCGCGUUAACAAGGUGAAUUGCCUCCGUCGUCGAGCGGCCAGGCAUAAAUCCAAACUGGUUCUCCAAAAUAGACAUUAUCCGUCUCAGCCUCACCUUGACCACUCUCUCCCAAAUCUUCAUAGAGUGACUCAAUAACUUAAUACCCCUGUAGUUAUUGCAACCCUGAAUGUCACCCUUGUUCUUGUAAAGAGGGAUCAUAGUACUCCACCUUCAAGCCUCGGGCAUUUUCGCCGUCUUGAAAAUUUUGUUAAACAAUCCAAUCAACCACCUUAAACCAGCCUCGCCAGAAAACUUCCAAAAAUCCACAGGUAUCUCAUCAGGCCCCGUCGCCCUACCCCUUCGCAUCCUGCGAAUAGCCUAUCUAACCUCCUCUACCUUAAAACGUCUACAAUAACUAAAAUCCCAACACUCCUCUGAGUGCUCCAGCUCC